AUCAAAAAAAAUAAUGCUUUAGGGGAAUACCUAAGGACUCAAAGUUGAAGAAGGGCGUUUAAACCUGCGAAAAUUUCUAGGAAGUUGGAAAAAAACAUUGAUCUAGAAGUUCCCCAAUAGAACAAUCUUUCAAACUGCUGAAAUAAUUCAUAAAUCAGUUAGAAGUAACUUAGUGAACUGAAACAUCUUAGUAACUAAAGGAAAAAAAAGCAAACGCGAUUUCCUUAGUAGCGGCGAGCGAAACGGAAUUAGCCUAAACUGAUAUCAGGGUUGUGGGAAUUCAAAUCUAUUGAAUAAAAGUUUAAACAGCUGAAACCUGUACCAGAGAUGGUGAAAGUCCAGUUUUCUUUAAAUAAACUGAAUUUCCCAAGUAGCUUGGGACACGAGAAAUCCCUUGUGAAUCUGCGAGGACCACCUCGUAAGGCUAAAUACUCUUGAGUCACUGAUAGUGAAAAGUACCGUGAGGGAAAGGUGAAAAAGAACCCCUAUAGGGGAGUGAAAGAGAUCAUGAAACUUAAAGCAAUCAAUCUGUGGGAGGCUGGAAAUGGCUAACCAUAUGCCUGUUGAAGAAUGAGCCAGCGACUUAUAAUUUUUGGCUCGGUUAAAGAAAUUUUCUGAAGCCAAAGUGAAAACAAGUCUGAAAAGGGCUAAUUGAUAUGUCAAAAAUUAUAGACCCGAAUCCGAGUGAUCUAACCAUGACCAGGAGGAAGCUAAGGUAAAACUUAGUGGACGUCCGAACCGACCGAUGUUGAAAAAUCGCCGGAUGAGUUGUGGUUAGGGGUGAAAUGCCAAUCGAACUCGUAGCUAGCUGGUUCUCCCUGAAAUGCGUUUAGGCGCAGCAAUUGUCGAAGGACUAAUAAGAGGUAGAGCACUGUUUCGAUAAGGGCCAGUCAAAUGGUACUAAAUUGUGGCAAACUCCAAAUUCUUAUUAUGAAUUCGCCGACAAUAAGUGAGACUUUGGGGGAUAAGCUCCAAAGUCGAAAGGGAAACAGCCCAGAUCAUCCGCUAAGGCCCCUAAAUAAUUACUAAGUGUUAAAGGAAGUUUCAACCCCGAAACAGCCAGAAGGUUCGCUUAGAAGCAGCUAUCCUUGAAAGAAUGCGUAAUAGCUCACUGGUUAAUGGGUUGAUGCGCCGACAAUGUCCGGGACUAAGUGAUUUGCCGAAGCUAUGAGAGACUUAUAUGUAUUACAAAAGUCUCGGUAGGGGAGCGUUCUGUUUUGAGGUGAAGACUUAUUGAAAAAGAGGGUGGAUCAAACAGAAGUGAGAAUGUUGGCUUGAGUAACGUAAACAUUGGUGAGAAUCCAAUGCCCCGUAAACCUAAGGUUUCCUCUACAAGGUUCGUCCAUAGAGGGUUAGUCAGGACCUAAAAUUAGGCUGAAAAGCGUCAUUGAUGGAAAACAGGCGAAUACUCCUGUACUUAUUUAAGUUUGGUGACAAAGGACGAAAUAGGUUCCAUCGGGUUAUGCUAUGGUCAUAAUGGAAGUGUUUGAUACAAGGUCAAAGAAAAAAAACUUUGAUUCUUUUUGUAAAAACAUGAACCGGUAACUUUUAUCCUUGCGGAUAAAAUUGCUCUGAAUAGUGGAAUUAAGUUUCCGAGAAAAGUUUGUGACACUUUAAUAAUUUAAAUAACCUGUACCUUAAACCAACACAGGUAGGUAGGUUGAGUAUACUCAGGGGCGCGAGAAAACUCUCUCUAAGGAACUCGGCAAAUUGGCCCCGUAACUUCGGGAGAAGGGGUGCCUCCAAAAGAGGCCGCAGUGAACUGAUUUUUUGGACUAGUUACCAAAACUAUAGGUCUCCGCAAAGUCAUAAGACAACGUAUGGGGGCCGACGCCUGCCCAGUGCCGGAAGGUUAAAUGAAUUGGUUAACCGCUAAUAAUUGAAGCCCCGGUGAACGGCGGCCGUAACUCUGACGGUCCUAAGGUAGCGAAAUUCCUUGUCACGUAAGUUGUGACCCGCACGAAAGGCGUAACCAAAAAAAUACUGUCUCAGAGAGAGACUCGGUGAAAUAGACAUAUCCGUGAAGAUGCGGACUUCUAAUGGUUUGACAAGAAGACCCCGUGAAGCUUGACUGUAUCUUGAUAUUGGUUUCCAGUUAUGUCUGCGCAGUCUAGGUGGGAGGCUAAGAAAUUAAGUUUGCGGAUUUAAUUAAGCCGAUAGUGAGAGACCACUCUGAAAUAACUAGAAUUCUAAAGAUGAUUCCUUCUAGCAGGACAUUUGACAGUGUCAAGGGGGCAGUUUUUUUGGGGCGAAAACCUCCUAAAAAGUAACGGAGGUUUGCAAAGGUUUCCUCAAACUGGACGGAAAUCAGUUAUUGAGUGUAAAGGCAAAAGGAAGCUUGACUGUAAGACUUAUAUGUCGAGCAGAGGCGAAAGCCGGCCUUAAUGAUCCGACGGUAACCCCGUGGAAGGGCCGUCGCGCAAAAGAUAAAAGUUACUCCGGGGAUAACAGGCUCAUCUUCCCCAAGAGUUCACAUCGACGGGAAGGUUUGGCACCUCGAUGUCGACUUUUCGCAACCUGGGGCGGUAGUUCGUCCCAAGGGUUGGGCUGUUCGCCCAUUAAAGCGGAACAUGAGUUGGGUUCAGAACGUCGUGAGACAGUUUGGUCUAUAUCAUCCAUUAGCGGUAGAAUAUUGAGAGGAUUUUUCCAUAAUACGAGAGGACUUGGAAGAACGUACCACUGGUGUACCAGUUCUUAGACCACUAGGAAACGCUGGGUAGCUAUGUAUGGAGUAGAGUACCGCUGAAAGCAUCUAAGUGGGAAGCCCACCUCCAGAUGAAUAUUCUCUAUCAGACUCCGGUCAGAUCAACCGGUUAAUAGGUUUCAGGUGUAAGAUUUGUAAAAAUUUAAGCUGAGAAAUACUACUGUUCGAAUGUUUUUGAU
rnacentral:rRNA from 1 species